rnacentral:SRP_RNA from 1 species
AGCUAGCGGUGCCCUGUACCCGCAAUCCGCUUCAGCGGGGCUGAAUGCCCGCCCGAGGGUCGAUGUCGGGAGCCGCUCGCCCCGCGAGGCGGCGUCGAGAGCCUGGUCCUGCGCGGCGAUAGUCCGGCCAACCCCGUCAGGUCCGGAAGGAAGCAGCGGUACGCCGGUCCUAUCGGGUGCCGCUGGAGUGCCGGGCUUGAGCUGCCGGACGGGGGGAUGCUCGUGGCGCGAUUCGACGGCGGGGCACGA